UACGGGGGGGGCAAGCGUUGUUCGGAAUUACUGGGCGUAAAGCGCGUGUAGGCGGCUGCCAAAGUCGGGUGUGAAAGCCUUGAGCUCAACUCAAGAAUGGCACUCGAUACUUGGUGGCUAGAGGACCGGAGAGGAUAGUGGAAUUCCCAGUGUAGUGGUGAAAUACGUAGAGAUUGGGAAGAACACCAGUGGCGAAGGCGGCUAUCUGGACGGUUCUGACGCUAAGACGCGAAAGCGUGGGGAGCAAACAGG
rnacentral:rRNA from 1 species